rnacentral:rRNA from 1 species
GCAGUCGAGCGGACGGAUGGGAGCUUGCUCCCUGAAGUCAGCGGCGGACGGGUGAGUAACACGUGGGCAACCUGCCUGUAAGACUGGGAUAACUUCGGGAAACCGGAGCUAAUACCGGAUAAUGCACAGCCUCUCAUGAGGCUAUGCUGAAAGAUGGUUUCGGCUAUCACUUACAGAUGGGCCCGCGGCGCAUUAGCUAGUUGGUGAGGUAACGGCUCACCAAGGCAACGAUGCGUAGCCGACCUGAGAGGGUGAUCGGCCACACUGGGACUGAGACACGGCCCAGACUCCUACGGGAGGCAGCAGUAGGGAAUCUUCCGCAAUGGACGAAAGUCUGACGGAGCAACGCCGCGUGAGUGAUGAAGGUUUUCGGAUCGUAAAACUCUGUUGUCAGGGAAGAACAAGUGCCGGAGUAACUGCCGGCACCUUGACGGUACCUGACCAGAAAGCCACGGCUAACUACGUGCCAGCAGCCGCGGUAAUACGUAGGUGGCAAGCGUUGUCCGGAAUUAUUGGGCGUAAAGCGCGCGCAGGCGGUCUCUUAAGUCUGAUGUGAAAGCCCACGGCUCAACCGUGGAGGGUCAUUGGAAACUG